rnacentral:rRNA from 1 species
AGAGUUUGAUCCUGGCUCAGGAUGAACGCUGGCGGCGUGCUUAACACAUGCAAGUCGAACGAAGCACUCUAUUUGAUUUUCUUCGGAAAUGAAGAUUUUGUGACUGAGUGGCGGACGGGUGAGUAACGCGUGGGUAACCUGCCUCAUACAGGGGGAUAACAGUUGGAAACGACUGCUAAUACCGCAUAAGCGCACAGGAUCGCAUGAUCCGGUGUGAAAAACUCCGGUGGUAUGGGAUGGACCCGCGUCUGAUUAGCCAGUUGGCAGGGUAACGGCCUACCAAAGCGACGAUCAGUAGCCGACCUGAGAGGGUGACCGGCCACAUUGGGACUGAGACACGGCUCAAACUCCUACGGGAGGCAGCAGUGGGGAAUAUUGCACAAUGGGGGAAGCCCUGAUGCAGCGACGCCGCGUGAGCGAAGAAGUAUUUCGGUAUGUAAAGCUCUAUCAGCAGGGAAGAAGAAUGACGGUACCUGACUAAGAAGCACCGGCUAAAUACGUGCCAGCAGCCGCGGUAAUACGUAUGGUGCAAGCGUUAUCCGGAUUUACUGGGUGUAAAGGGAGCGCAGGCGGUGCGGCAAAUCUGAUGUGAAAGCCCGGGGCUCAACCCCGGUACUGCAUUGGAAACUGUCGUACUAGAGUGUCAGAGGUAGGCGGAAUUCCCGGUGUAGCGGUGGAAUGCGUAGAUAUCGGGAGGAACACCAGUGGCGAAGGCGGCCUACUGGGCACCAACUGACGCUGAGGCUCGAAAGUGUGGGUAGCAAACAGGAUUAGAUACCCUGGUAGUCCACACCGUAAACGAUGAUUACUAGGUGUUGGAGGAUUGACCCCUUCAGUGCCGCAGUUAACACAAUAAGUAAUCCACCUGGGGAGUACGACCGCAAGGUUGAAACUCAAAGGAAUUGACGGGGGCCCGCACAAGCAGUGGAGUAUGUGGUUUAAUUCGACGCAACGCGAAGAACCUUACCAAGUCUUGACAUCCUGCGACGAUGCUAGAAAUAGUAUUUUCCUUCGGGACGCAGAGACAGGUGGUGCAUGGUUGUCGUCAGCUCGUGUCGUGAGAUGUUGGGUUAAGUCCCGCAACGAGCGCAACCCUUAUGGUCAGUUACUACGCAAGAGGACUCUGGCCAGACUGCCGUUGACAAAACGGAGGAAGGUGGGGAUGACGUCAAAUCAUCAUGCCCUUUAUGACUUGGGCUACACACGUACUACAAUGGCGUUAAACAAAGAGAAGCAAGACCGCGAGGUGGAGCAAAACUCAGAAACAACGUCCCAGUUCGGACUGCAGGCUGCAACUCGCCUGCACGAAGUCGGAAUUGCUAGUAAUCGUGGAUCAGCAUACCACGGUGAAUACGUUCCCGGGCCUUGUACACACCGCCCGUCACACCAUGAGAGCCGGGGGGACCCGAAGUCGGUAGUCUAACCGCAAGGAGGACGCCGCCGAAGGUAAAGCUGGUGAUUGGGGUGAAGUCGUAACAAGGUA